GGUGCUAGUGGCGGACGGGUGAGUAACGCGUGGGAACAUACCCUUUGGUUCGGAAUAGCCUCGGGAAACUGGGAGUAAUACCGGAUAAGCUCUUCGGAGGAAAGAUUUAUCGCCAAAGGAUUGGCCCGCGUUGGAUUAGGUAGUUGGUGGGGUAAUGGCCUACCAAGCCGACGAUCCAUAGCUGGUUUGAGAGGAUGAUCAGCCACACUGGGACUGAGACACGGCCCAGACUCCUACGGGAGGCAGCAGUGGGGAAUUUUCCGCAAUGGGCGAAAGCCUGACGGAGCAAGACCGCGUGGGGGAAGAAGGCUCUUGGGUUGUAAACCCCUUUUCUCUGGGAAGAACAAAAUGACGGUACCAGAGGAAUCAGCAUCGGAUAACUCCGUGCCAGCAGCCGCGGUAAGACGGAGGAUGCAAGCGUUAUCCGGAAUGAUUGGGCGUACAGCGUCCGCAGGUGGCAGUUCACGUCUGCUG
rnacentral:rRNA from 1 species